rfam:Desulfovibrio sp. An276 An276_contig_40, whole genome shotgun sequence.
GGGGGCGCACUGGUUUCGACGGGGACGUGGAAGCCGGAGUUGCAGGUCGAGGCGCCGCUGGCCUCGUUAAAAGCGGCAAAAACAGUAAUUGCCAACGAAGACAACUACGCCUACGCUUGCGCUGCCUAAGCAGUGCGGGCUACAUGGCUGAAAAUUCAGCCAGGUCGGCAUGGGGGACGCCCAAUAGCCUGUGUCGGCCACGAUUCAUUGGGCUGGCUUGAGCAUACGCUAACCGGUGUUUGAGCGAGGAUUCUACGGCUGGCUGGUUCUUGAGGCGCCUGAGCGUCGGCAACCUCAAGGACGAGAAUUAAAGACGUUCUAAACCUGUAGAUGCUUUGCGUGGAACUUUCUCGGACGGGAGUUCGACUCUCCCCGCCUCCACCA